AUUGAACGCUGGCGGCAUGCUUUACACAUGCAAGUCGAACGGCAGCGCGGGCUUCGGCCUGGCGGCGAGUGGCGAACGGGUGAGUAAUACAUCGGAACGUGCCAGUAGUGGGGGAUAGCUCGGCGAAAGCCGGAUUAAUACCGCAUACGACCUGAGGGUGAAAGCGGGGGAUCUUCGGACCUCGCGCUAUUGGAGCGGCCGAUGGCAGAUUAGCUAGUUGGUGGGGUAAAGGCCUACCAAGGCGACGAUCUGUAGCUGGUCUGAGAGGACGACCAGCCACACUGGGACUGAGACACGGCCCAGACUCCUACGGGAGGCAGCAGUGGGGAAUUUUGGACAAUGGGCGAAAGCCUGAUCCAGCAAUGCCGCGUGUGUGAUGAAGGCCUUCGGGUUGUAAAGCACUUUUGGCGGGAACGAAAAGGACUGUGCCAAUACCACGGUUCGAUGACGGUACCCGCAGAAUAAGCACCGGCUAACUACGUG
rnacentral:rRNA from 1 species